CUGAAUCAGAACAUCAAAGUAGUCUCUCAACUGAAGCCAAGUAAAGGACUUUUUCAAAUGCCAGGUUUACCUGCAGGUGGCUUAAAUCACAACAGGAAACAAGGUGACGGCUGCCCAACUCAGCAAACCUGUUUGUUACAAAUAAGUCGACGUUGCCAAGGUGCAUGGAGCCUCCCUGUUGCGAGGCCUUCCCAUCCACGUCCGGCUUGAGUGGGCGAAGUGGCAAAAGCUCUAAUUAUGUUCGGGGAAGCUUCAAGUCCGAAGUGGCAAGCAUCACAGACAUUUAUGAAGUGCCUCUAGAUAAAGCAAUGAAUAAGAAAGACAAGAU